rnacentral:rRNA from 1 species
UACAUAGGUGGCAAGCGUUGUUCGGAAUUACUGGGCGUAAAGGGCGCGUAGGCGGCCAUCUAAGUCAGACGUGAAAUCCCCCGGCUUAACCUGGGAACUGCGUCUGAUACUGGACGGCUCGAGUUUGGGAGAGGGAUGCAGAAUUCCAGGUGUAGCGGUGAAAUGCGUAGAUAUCUGGAGGAAUACCGGUGGCGAAGGCGGCAUCCUGGACCAACACUGACGCUGAGGCGCGAAAGCUAGGGGAGCAAACGGG